rnacentral:lncRNA from 1 species
ACUUAAAAGAAAGAUGGGUAAGGAUUGAGUAAAGGAAGGGGGAGGACUUAAAGUAACAACUAUGAAAAGCUAAGAGCAUGUAUAAGCGAAAGAAAAAAAGUGAGAUGUACUGUCAGAUCCUUGAAACAAGACCAAAAAGCUGACCGAGGAGAGAAUGGGUGUGAUCCUAGCAGAGUUGACAGCAAAACAAUAAGUGAUGGAUUUUCGAAAAUAAAAAUUUAUUAAUCAUGUGUAAUCACUUUUCAUAUAGGAAGCAUAUAUAUCAAGAACAAUAUGCUUAAGAAAUUCGUAAUUCGUGCCAAUAAAAAAAUGUGGCAAAAUCUAUAUAAUAUGCCUUGCAAAGCAAUCUAUUAUGUGGUCACUUCUCCUUUUUAAAAGUGUAAUGGAAUUAUGGAAGAAUGGAGCCUGCUGGAAAACAGAAAGAACCGAUUAGAGUAAGAUAUAUAGAAGAUGAAUGUGCAUUUGAGAAAACAUAAGCUGCUCAAAAUGCAAUAUUCUAACCCAGUUCACAAUAGACCCGACUCAACAAUCUCCCCACCCUAGGAAACCGGUGCGAAAGGGGACAAAAAAAGAAAAACACAUUUACCAAAUCGAAGCAAAAAAUGAAAGCAAAAGGGCUAGAAAGACCAGACAACCAUGUCCAUGGGACAUGAACACCAUGACAACAGUAUAAAACAGAUCUUGAUAAAUCAAGCUGUUAAUAUAUCAGAGAUAGACAGCAAAACAGAAGAACAGCAGCACCUGGAGAGCACCAAAUAAGAGUGAGAAAGAAGCACAAUGAAGUUUGUUAACAUCAAAGAGAAAAACCCGAAAAGGAAAGGGAAAGCAAAGCUAUAAAACACCAAGCAACCAAUAGGUUUGAUCAAAAGAGAAAAGAGCAACAAGCUGUCAUAGCAAAUGAACUAAAAGCGCCAGCUGCUUGGUAUUUUUUUGCAGCCCGCAUGAUUCUUAACUGUCCGCAUGAUUCCCUACCAAGGAUCAUAAACUGAUUUAGCACCUCGAACCGAGAGCCUAAAAAUCUGCAUGAAUACUAUCCUUGACUAUGAUCAUAAGACAGUCACACAACUAAAUCUCUAAAAAAGUCAAUCUUUAGCAUUCAGAAGCACAUGCUAUUUUUAAAGGGCUCUGCAUUUUCCUCUGCAAACAUCCAGACCUGGAAGUUUUUAGGUCACACAUACUUUCUGUCUUAUGAAAUUGCAGACCAAAUUUUGAGACUGGAAAACAAAAUGAUAUGUUGAUUAACACUGAACAAGAGCAGAAAGUCUCGUGUUCAAAGCGCGAAGGAUGUUAAAAGAUAAUAAAAGAGAGCAUACCUCUCAUCAUUGACCUGAAUUUGUAUCUCAUGGUAACAGAUUCUAGUUCAUCAAUUGCAAUUGUAUAGAAAUCCUCGUGCUUAACCUGUAACCAGCACUAGAAGUCAAAUCUCCGAACCGAGUAGAUUUCACAAGUGUGCAUGCAUCAAAACAAG